CUCUCCGCCGCUGUGGGCCGAGGCACGGCUUUCUUUUCUCCCCGCCGCAUUCCGUAGCCCUUGGUUUCGAGCGGCGGCCACAUUUCAGACCUUGCUGCCAAGUGGAGAAAGUGCAGCGAUUGGCCGCACGUCCCCUCUCGCGCACCGUGUGGAAGCCCUCUCGCAGAGCCCCCAGCUCUGACCAGAGGCCCCAGUAUGUCACUGGGCUGCCGGCCAUUUGGGCGAGAGAGAAGAGACGUGGUCUGAGAUGAUGAUGCCCCUCUGUGCGAUGGUUGAUUCCCUCACUGGGAGCCCCUCAGUCCUGCACUGAUCCGUACGCUGCAGCUCUGAGGAAGAAUCAGAAAAGCACCAUACUGAGCAGCAUGGAGUUCCAGGGUCAGAGGUUGAAGUAAAAAUGAUGAGCACAGGGAAAGCUUUCACUACUUUCUAUCUUCGUGACACUGAAAGAGGCCUAUUCUUCACUUCCUGAAGGGAAGAAAGUGAUCUGCCACAGGAAAAUCAAGUUAGCAAGGUAUUCUACACAGAGCUGCUGUUUUCCACAUGAAACCUGGACAUGAUACUGUGUUCAAGAUCACACACUACAAAUUUCCUACAAAGAAGCCUCAAUCUACAUGUCCAGCAAAGGCAUUCAAAGGCACAAGGACUCCAAAAGAGGGUUACAGCGGUCUUUGGUGGAUAUUCCUGGAAGGUCUUCAGUGUUUUGUCAGCUCAUUGGAGUUCAGGUUUUUCUCUUAGCAGUUACAUGGUCCUCCUCACCGUCUUCAAGAUAAUUCUGUCAGCACAAGCUCCUCUGUUUGAACAAUUAUUCUGGAUCUAUUUCUUCUUUUUUUUUUUUUUAGUUUAUAUAACCAUGCAAACUGCACAUAAGGAGCUGCCAUUUUUUCUUUCAUGCAUUUUGCAGAGACCAUAUGAAAUUCGAAGCUAGUUCCACUGGUUGUGUAAGAGUCAGCUAAGCUGGCUUCCGUGUAUUGGCCUAACAUACGUAAAGGGGAAGAGCCCUCACUCGGUGUCAGUGCAGCUAUACAAAAAACCUGGGCCAAACCUUGUGCUUGGACAUUGUGAGAAUGGGAAUAUGAGAAAAGCACUGGUGUUAUUUCUAACGUAAAA